rnacentral:rRNA from 1 species
CAGUAGCGUAUAUUAAAGUUGUUGCAGUUAAAAAGCUCGUAGUUGGAUUUCUGACAGGAGCGACCGGUCCGAGCAUUCGUGUUCGUGUUACUUGUGUUGUCUCUAGUCAUCCUUAUGGAGAACAAAUGUGGCAUUAAGUUGUUGUGUUUGGGACCCAUAUCGUUUACUGUGAAAAAAUUAGAGUGUUCAAAGCAGGCAAUCGCUGUGAAUAUAUUAGCAUGGAAUAAUAAGAUAGGACGUUGGUACUAUUUUGUUGGUUUGCAUACCAAGGUAAUGAUUAAGAGGGACAGUUGGGGGUAUUCGUAUUUACAUGUCAGAGGUGAAAUUCUUGGAUUUUGGAAAGACGAACUACUGCGAAAGCAUUUACCAAGGAUGUUUUCAUUGAUCAAGAACGAAAGUUAGGGAUCGAAGACGAUUAGAUACCAU